UACGGAGGGUGCAAGCGGUGUUCGGAAUCAUUGGGCGUAAAGCGCGUGUAGGCGGCUUGGUAAGUCGGGUGUGAAAUCCCGGGGCCCAACCCCGGAACUGCAUUCGAAACUGCCUCGCUAGAGUCCCGGAGAGGAAGGCGGAAUUCCUGGUGUAGAAGUGAAAUUCGUAGAUAUCAGGAGGAACACCUGAGGCGAAGGCGGCUGCCUGGCAGUGCAUUGACGCUGAGGUGCGAAAGUGUGGGGAGCAAACAGG
rnacentral:rRNA from 1 species